GCGAGAGCCUGCCGAUUAUCUGUCCCAGAAGUUCCGGGAUCAGCUCAUCCCAUGGCCUAAACUCACAGAUCUCCCCCAUUUCAACCUUUUUAUAAAAUUUGGAUCGAUCCAAUUGAAGAAACGAUCUAAAAGCUCAAAACAGAUGAAGCUCAGAUCUAGGGUUUCUAUGAUCGUCACGGAGUUUGGAUCUCAUGGCCGAUGAGAGAUAGCGACAGGUUGACUGUUGAUGAGAGCGGGGACAGAGUAGCAGCG
rnacentral:misc_RNA from 1 species